rnacentral:rRNA from 1 species
GACGAACGCUGGCGGCGUGCUUAACACAUGCAAGUCGAACGGAAAGGCCCUGCUUUUGUGGGGUGCUCGAGUGGCGAACGGGUGAGUAACACGUGAGUAACCUGACCUUGACUUUGGGGUAACUUCAGGAAACUGGGGCUAAUACCGGAUAGGAGCUCCUGCUGCAUGGUGGGGGUUGGAAAGUUUCGGCGGUUGGGGAUGGACUCGCGGCUUAUCAGCUUGUUGGUGGGGUAGUGGCUUACCAAGGCUGAGACGGGUAGCCGGCCUGAGAGGGUGACCGGCCACAUUGGGACUGAGAUACGGCCCAGACUCGUACGGGAGGCAGCGGUGGGGAAUAUUGCACAAUGGGCGGAAGCCUGAUGCAGCAACGCCGCGUGCGGGAUGCCGGCCUUCGGGUUGUAAACCGCUUUCGCCUGUGACGAAGCGUGAGUGACGGUACUGGGUAAAGAAGCACCGGCUAACUACGUG